rnacentral:rRNA from 1 species
UGAGGAAUUUUCCGCAAUGGGCGAGAGCCUGACGGAGCAAUGCCGCGUGGAGGAAGAAUGCCUUAGGGUUGUAAACUCCUUUUCUCAAUGAAGAAAAUCUGACGGUAGUUGAGGAAUAAGCAUCGGCUGACUUCGUGCCAGCAGCCGCGGUAAUACGAGGGAUGCAAGCGUUAUCCGGAAUUAUUGGGCGUAAAGAGUUUGUAGGUGGUUUGGUGUGUUCAAUGUUAAAUAUUAAAGCUCAACUUUGAAAUUGCAUUGAAAACUACCAGACUCGAGUAUGAUAGAGGUAAAGGGAAUUUCCAGUGUAGCGGUGAAAUGCGUAGAUAUUGGAAAGAACACCAAAGGCGAAAGCACUUUGCUAGGUCAAUACUGACACUGAGGAACGAAAGCUAAGGUAGCC